rnacentral:rRNA from 1 species
AGCGAACGCUGGCAGCAGGCCUAACACAUGCAAGUCGAACGAAGCCUUCGGGCUUAGUGGCGGACGGGUGAGUAACACGUGGGAACGUACCUUUUGGUUCGGAACAACUCAGGGAAACUUGAGCUAAUACCGGAUGAGCCCUUAGGGGGAAAGAUUUAUCGCCGAAAGAGCGGCCCGCGUUAGAUUAGCUUGUUGGUGAGGUAAAGGCUCACCAAGGCAACGAUCUAUAGCUGGUCUGAGAGGAUGAUCAGCCACACUGGGACUGAGACACGGCCCAGACUCCUACGGGAGGCAGCAGUGGGGAAUCUUGCGCAAUGGGCGAAAGCCUGACGCAGCCAUGCCGCGUGAAUGAUGAAGGUCUUAGGAUUGUAAAAUUCUUUUACCAGGGACGAUAAUGACGGUACCUGGAGAAAAAGCCCCGGCUAACUUCGUGCCAGCAGCCGCCGUAAUAC